rnacentral:rRNA from 1 species
GAGGAAUAUUGCACAAUGGAGGUAACUCUGAUGCAGCAACGCCGCGUGGAGGAUGACGCAUCUCGGUGUGUAAACUCCUUUUAUGAGUCAAGAAAAUGACGGUAGCUCAUGAAUAAGCACCGGCUAACUCCGUGCCAGCAGCCGCGGUAAUACGGGGGGUGCAAGCGUUACUCGGAAUCACUGGGCGUAAAGGACGCGUAGGCGGUCUAGCAAGUCAGGUGUGAAAGCCUAUGGCUCAACCAUAGAAUUGCACUUGAAACUGUUAGACUAGAGUAUGGGAGGGGCAGAUGGAAUUAGUGGUGUAGGGGUAAAAUCCGUAGAUAUCACUAGGGAUACCAAAAGCGAAGGCGAUCUGCUGGAACAUUACUGACGCUAAGGCGUGAAAGCGUGGGGAGCAAAC